rnacentral:sRNA from 1 species
ACUAACAUGGGAAGCUUUGGCAUUGUCUUCCUUUCUAAUCUCCACUCUUAAAUGUUGUAAUAAAAGAUCCAGUUCCACCUCCUACCCUGGUCUUCAUCUGUCCCAUUCCCUUAAAAUAUCCUAGAAACCAGACCCAUGUUCCAAACAGAGAACCUGUUCAGGCACUGCCUUCCUCUGCCAGCCGGAAACGUCUGGACAAGAAACGUUCAGUGCCUGUAGCCACUGUAGAACGAGAAGAAAAGAGGUUCAGAACUCUGCCUUUAGCGCCAAGCCCCCUACAAGGCCUGACCAAUCAGGAUUUACAAGAGGGAGAAGAUUGGGAGCAAGACGAUGAGGACAUGGACCCCAGAUUAGAACACAGUUCCUCAGUUCAAGAAGGUGAGUUAAUGAGAGGAGGGUAAAAAUGCCAGUGGAAAAGACGUAUAAUCACUUGUGUUUUCUUGCUUCCUUCCUAGAUUCUGAAUCCCCAAAUCCUGAAGAUGUACCAGACUACAUCCUGCAAUACAGGGCCAUCCACAGUGCAGAACAGCAACAUGCCUAUGAGCAGGACUUUGAGACAGAUUAUGCUGAAUACCGCAUCCUGCAUGCCCGUGUUGGGACUGCAAGCCAAAGGUUCAUAGAGCUGGGAGCAGAGAUUAAAAGAGUUCAGCAAGGAACUCCGGAAUACAAGGUGCUGGAAGACAAGAUAGUCCAGGAAUAUAAAAAGUUCAGGAAGGUAAGACAAGGUCUGAGAACGGAAGCAAGGUAGAAUGAGAAUUUUAACUUUUUGACAUGGAUGCUUUUUCUCUGCAGCGGUACCCAGGUUACAGAGAAGAAAAGCGUCGCUGUGAGUACCUUCACCAGAAAUUGUCCCACAUUAAAGGUCUCAUCCUGGAGUUUGAGGAAAAGAACAGAGGCAGCUGAAGUUAUCAAGGGAGUUCUUGAGCCUCUGCUUAGUGAAACACAAAGGAACAAAGCAGCUAUAAACUAAAUAGAAUGCAACUAUCUGCUUUUCUUCUGCUGACCACUGGAGUCCAUGGUGGCAAGUAGAGAGUUGCUCUAGGUUCUUGAGGUUUGGUUUUCAUUGUUAAUUUUUAGGGUAUGGGCACUGUACAAAGACUCCAUAGCUGUGCCUAGGA